rnacentral:rRNA from 1 species
AAAAAUUUAAAUAGAUAUAUUUGAGUAGUAAUAGUUAUGUUCUUGAAAUUUAAAAAAUUUGGCGGUAUUUUAGUCUAUUCAGAGGAACCUGUUUUUUAAUCGAUAGUCCACGUUGUACCUUACUUAAGUUUGUUUUUAUAGUUUAUAUAUCGUUGUUUAUAGAAUAUUUUAUUAAAAUAAUAAUUUUCAAAAUUUUACAUAUAAAAUUAUAUCAGAUCAAGAUGUAGCAUAUAUUUAAGUUUAUAAUGGGUUACAUUUAUUUUAAUUAUUGGAAUUUAAUUUGAAAUUAAUUAGAAGAAAUUGGAUUUGAAAGUAAAUUUAUAAAGAUAGAUAAAUUGAUUUUAGCUCUAAAAUAUG